rnacentral:lncRNA from 1 species
UUGUAUCCAAUCCGAUCAAUAUUUGAUUCACUCCGACCAGAUUGUCACAUCAAUCUGAGGUCCAGAGAUUACAUUACACCCUAGCGUGAUAAAACUAAUCCACGUCAAAUUUGAUCGUAUAUCCAAUCAAAUCCGAAUCUGAUCCAAUCUGACUCGAUUUCCACACCUACAAUGGGGUCCGUAGUCGACAUUACACCCUAGCAUGGUAAAAUUAAUCCACCUCAAACCC